AGAGAGAGACAUGCGCGCAUAUCAAUAAGCGGAGGAAAAGAAACUAACUAGGAUUCCCUCAGUAACGGCGAGUGAAGCGGGAAGAGCUCAAAUUUGAAAUCUUCAAGGUUCUACCUUGACGAAUUGUAGUUUAAAGAAGUGUUUUCUGUUGGAGUUUUGGUAAAAGUUCUUUGGAAUAGGACAUCAUAGAGGGUGAGAAUCCCGUAUUUGACCAUUAUUUCAGCUGUGUGAUAACACUUUCAAAGAGUCGGAUUGUUUGGGAAUGCAGUCCAAAAUGGGUGGUAAAUUUCAUCUAAAGCUAAAUAUUGGCGAGAGACCGAUAGCGAACAAGUACCGUGAGGGAAAGAUGAAAAGAACUUUGAAAAGAGAGUUAAACAGUACGUGAAAUUGUCAAAAGGGAAGCGUUUGACACCAGUGUUGUUUUCUCGAAAAUCAAUUAAAAAAGGCAGGAUUUUGUGUUGUAUUGACUUUAUCAGCUUUCUGCACUCUUUUCUUGUCUUUUUUUAAUGCACUUUUCGUUUAACAAGUCAACAUCAAUUUCUCUUGUUAUAAAAGGGUCAUUGGAAGGUGGCUUUCUUUUCGGAGAAAGUGUUUAUAGCCUUUGACUCCUGCAAUCGGAGAGACUGAGGUCUGCAGCGUAGAUCCUUCGGGGUUAGAUACAUUUGUGCUAAGUUAUAGCCUUUCAUAGACAACUUGUUGACUAUGAUCAGUCAUGUAGCUUACUCGCUUAUGCUAUUUUACCUACGCUUAGGAUGUUGAUGUGAUACUGCGAGCA
rnacentral:rRNA from 1 species